rnacentral:rRNA from 1 species
GACGAACGCUGGCGGCGUGCUUAACACAUGCAAGUCGAGCGGUAAGGCCCUUUCGGGGGUACACGAGCGGCGAACGGGUGAGUAACACGUGGGUGACCUGCCUUUAGCUCUGGGAUAAGCCUGGGAAACUGGGUCUAAUACCGGAUAUGACUCCGCGGUGCAUGCUGUGGGGUGGAAAGCCUUGUGCGGCUGGAGAUGGGCCCGCGGCCUAUCAGCUUGUUGGUGGGGUGAUGGCCUACCAAGGCGACGACGGGUAGCCGGCCUGAGAGGGCGACCGGCCACACUGGGACUGAGACACGGCCCAGACUCCUACGGGAGGCAGCAGUGGGGAAUCUUGCGCAAUGGGCGAAAGCCUGACGCAGCGACGCCGCGUGAGGGAUGACGGCCUCGGUUGUAACGUACUUC